rnacentral:rRNA from 1 species
UAGGGAAUCUUCGGCAAUGGACGAAAGUCUGACCGAGCAACGCCGCGUGAGUGAAGAAGGUUUUCGGUUCGUAAAACUCUGUUGUUAGAGAAGAACAAGGACGUUAGUAACUGAACGUCCCCUGACGGUAUCUAACCAGAAAGCCACGGCUAACUACGUGCCAGCAGCCGCGGUAAUACGUAGGUGGCAAGCGUUGUCCGGAUUUAUUGGGCGUAAAGCGAGCGCAGGCGGUUUCUUAAGUCUGUUGUGAAAGCCCCCGGCUCAACCGGGGAGGGUCAUUGGAAACUGGGGGACUUGAGUGCAGAAGAGGAGAGUGGAAUUCCAUGUGUAGCGGUGAAAUGCGUAGAUAUAUGGAGGAACACCAGUGGCGAAGGCGGCUCUCUGGUCUGUAACUGACGCUGAGGCUCGAAAGCGUGGGGAGCAAACAGG